UUUUUUAUUUUUUUCGAUGUUUAUUAAUCCAUUCAACAAACGAUGCAAGAAAGAAAGAAAAGAAUUAGUAUUAUUAUUUA
rnacentral:ribozyme from 13 species